rnacentral:misc_RNA from 1 species
CAAACCUCAAGCCUAGCUUGGUGAUGGGCCCCGCCCGCGCGGCGGGCCCGAAACUCGUGGGCGCCCCAGGCCGGACUCCAAGCGUAGCAAAACCCUCGCUUGCGGACGACCGGUCGGAGGCCGCCCCGGACCCCCAAUUUUAUCAAU